AGGUGCUGCACGGCUGUCGUCAGCUCGUGUCGUGAGAUGUUGGGUUAAGUCCCGCAACGAGCGCAACCCUCGUGUUUAGUUACUAACAGUUCGGCUGAGGACUCUAAACAGACUGCCUGGGUAACCAGGAGGAAGGUGAGGACGACGUCAAGUCAUCAUGGCCCUUACGGCCAGGGCUACACACGUGCUACAAUGGGGUAUACAAAGAGCUGCAAUACGGUGACGUGGAGCAAAUCUCAUAAAAUAUCUCCCAGUUCGGAUUGAAGUCUGCAACUCGACUUCAUGAAGUUGGAAUCGCUAGUAAUCGUAGAUCAGCAAUGCUACGGUGAAUACGUUCCCGGGUCUUGUACUCACCGCCCGUCACACCAUGGGAAUUGAAUUCAUUCGAAGCGGGGAUGCUAAAAUAGCUACCUUCCACAGUGGAUUUAGUAACUAGGGUGAAGUUCAAGCAACAGC
rnacentral:rRNA from 1 species